rnacentral:rRNA from 1 species
AUUGAACGCUGGCGGCAGGCCUAACACAUGCAAGUCGAGCGGAUGAAGGGAGCUUGCUCCUGGAUUCAGCGGCGGACGGGUGAGUAAUGCCUAGGAAUCUGCCUGGUAGUGGGGGAUAACGUCCGGAAACGGGCGCUAAUACCGCAUACGUCCUGAGGGAGAAAGUGGGGGAUCUUCGGACCUCACGCUAUCAGAUGAGCCUAGGUCGGAUUAGCUAGUUGGUGGGGUAAAGGCCUACCAAGGCGACGAUCCGUAACUGGUCUGAGAGGAUGAUCAGUCACAUUGGAACUGGGACACGGUCCAGACUCCUACGGGAGGGAGCAGUGGGGAAUAUUGGACAAAGGGCGAAAGCCUGAUCCAGCCAUGCCGCGUGUGUGGAGAAGGUCCUCGGAUUGUAAAGCACGUUAAGUUGGGAGGAAGGGCAGUAAGUUAAUACCUUGCUGUUCUGACGUUACCAACAGAAUAAGCACCGGCUAACUUCGUG